rnacentral:misc_RNA from 1 species
AGUCGUAACAAGGUUUCCGUAGGUGAACCUGCGGAAGGAUCAUUAACACAUUGUCCAUUUGAUGGUGAGUAUAUAAGGGGUGUAGCAAUACGCUCCCUAUUAUUCAUCAUUCAAACAACAUUAGAGAAUGAGUUGACAAGUCAUCAACCAUUUUAUUUAUUUAAAGUGUUUGAGUGAAUAAUCAAAUCAUGCUAUCACGAUCAAUAUAUAGAAGGGUCAUACCUUGUAUCUAUUCGACUGAUGUUUUUUUCGAAAAACAAAAAAAACAAAAUAUAACCAAGACAACUUGUAACAGUGGAUACCUUGGUUCCCAG